GACGAACGCUGGCGGCGUGCCUAAUACAUGCAAGUCGAACGCAGUGGGGACGGGUGCGUAACACGUGGGUAACCUCCCAUCAGAGGGGAUAACACUUGGAAACAGGUGCUAAACCGAUACUGAUGGAUGGACCCGCGGUGCAUUAGCUAGUUGGUGAGGUAACGGCUCACCAAGGCCACGAUGCAUAGCUGGUCUGAGAUGAUGACCAGCCACACUGGGACUGAGACACGGCCCAGACUCCUACGGUAGGCAGCAGUGGGGAAUUUUGGACAAGGGGGGAAACCCUGAUCCAGCCAUCCCGCGUGGGCGAUGAAGGCCUUCGGGUUGUAAAGCACUUUUGGCAGGAAAGCGGUACCUGCAGAAUAAGCACCGGCUAACUACGUGCCAGCCGCCGCGGUAAUAC
rnacentral:rRNA from 1 species